GACGAACGCUGGCGGCGUGCCUAAUACAUGCAAGUAGAACGCUGAAGAGAGGAGCUUGCUCUUCUUGGAAGAGUUGCGAACGGGUGAGUAACGCGUAGGUAACCUGCCUUGUAGCGGGGGAUAACUAUUGGAAACGAUAGCUAAUACCGCAUAACAAUGGGUGACCCAUGUCAUUCAUUUAAAAGGGGCAACUGCUCCACUACAAGAUGGACCUGCGUUGUAUUAGCUAGUAGGUGAGGUAACGGCUCACCUAGGCGACGAUACAUAGCCGACCUGAGAGGGUGAUCGGCCACACUGGGACUGAGACACGGCCCAGACUCCUACGGGAGGCAGCAGUAGGGAAUCUUCGGCAAUGGGGGCAACCCUGACCGAGCAACGCCGCGUGAGUGAAGAAGGUUUUCGGAUCGUAAAGCUCUGUUGUAAGUCAAGAACGAGUGUGAGAGUGGAAAGUUCACACUGUGACGGUAGCUUACCAGAAAGGGACGGCUAACUACGUGCCAGCAGCCGCGGUAAUACGUAGGUCCCGAGCGUUGUCCGGAUUUAUUGGGCGUAAAGCGAGCGCAGGCGGUUUGAUAAGUCUGAAGUUAAAGGCUGUGGCUCAACCAUAGUUUGCUUUGGAAACUGCCAAACUUGAGUGCAGAAGGGGAGAGUGGAAUUCCAUGUGUAGCGGUGAAAUGCGUAGAUAUAUGGAGGAACACCGGUGGCGAAAGCGGCUCUCUGGUCUGUAACUGACGCUGAGGCUCGAAAGCGUGGGGAGCGAACAGG
rnacentral:rRNA from 1 species